UAACCUCAAUGAUUUAGCUACUCUUUU
rnacentral:piRNA from 1 species